UACGGAGGGGGCUAGCGUUGUCCGAAGUUACUGGGCGUAAAGCGCGCGUAGGCGGGUUGGUAAGUCCGCUGUGAAAGCCCGGAGCUCAACUCCGGAACUGCCAUUGAAACUGUUUAGCUUGAGGAUGAGAGAGGUGAGUGGAAUUCCCAGUGUAGAGGUGAAAUUCGUAGAUAUUGGGAAGAACACCGGUGGCGAAGGCGGCUCACUGGCUCAUUACUGACGCUCAGGCGCGAUAGCGUGGGGAUCAAACAGG
rnacentral:rRNA from 1 species